rnacentral:tRNA from 9 species
GCUAUGGGCUUCAAGUCCGGGUGGUUGCUGAUUAUCAGCGCCAUCUCGCAGUUCAAUUCCCCCGCCCU